AUACGAAUGGAGCGAGCGUUGUUCGGAAUCAUUGGGCGUAAAGCGUAUGUAGGCGGACUAGAAAGUCAGAAGUGAAAUCCCGAGGCUCAACCUCGGAAUUGUUUUUGAAACUCCUGGUCUCGAGUCCCGGAGGGGUUGACGGAAUUCCUAGUGUAGAGGUGAAAUUCGCAGAUAUUAGGAGGAACACCAGUGGCGUAGGCGGUCAACUGGACGGGUACUGACGCUGAGAUACGAAAGCGUGGGGAGCAAACAGGAUUAGAUACCCUAGUAGUCC
rnacentral:rRNA from 1 species